rnacentral:rRNA from 1 species
UUAACCUCAGCUCAGUCAUGAAUACCCGCUGAAUUUAAGCAUAUAACUAAGCGGAGGAAAAGAAACUAACGAGGAUUUCCCUAGUAACGGCGAGUGAACGGGAAAAAGCCCAGCGCUGAAUCCUUUUAGCCGUUGGCUCUAAGGAACUGUAGCGUAUAGGUGUAACUAUCCAGAUGAUUCGUUCACCCAAAGUCCCCUUGAGCGGGGCUACAGUCCAUAGAAGGUGCUAGGCCUGUACGGGUGGUGAAACGUUUGGUUUGGUUGCACUUUGGAGUCGGGUUGCCUGAGAUCGCAGCCCAAAGUGGGUGGUAAACCUCAUCUAAGGCUAAAUACGGCCACGAGACCGAUAGCAAACAAGUACCGUGAGGGAAAGUUGCAAAGAACUUUGAAGAGAGAGUUCAAGAGGGCGUGAAACCGCUGAGAUGGAAGCGGAUAGCGUUGACAAAACUUAUCGGUAUUCAACCGAUUAAUUUAGCGGUCUUACCGUUCUGUAUCUCUGGUGGUAAAACACAUGGAGAGCAUUGCGGUGAGUUUACUGUUGAAUUGAAUUGGUGUAUUUGCCGGUAGUAUGCGCCGAAAAUUUCGCUGUUGCAUAUUGAGACAUUUUUGGAUGUAGUGGACUGUACCAAUUUUGGUAUGGAAACCUGCAUUCUGUUAAAAUAUGUCUUCGGUGAAAUUACCAAGUGUAUUGUAACUUUCGAUUCACACAACUGUGUGUAUUGCAUUCAUUGCAUCUUGCAAUUGUUACAGUUUGUAUGCAGUCGCUUGCGACUUUUUGGCUUCAAUUUGUUCUUUGCAAAUGCGGUUCAGAUUCAAUGCGAUAAAGUUGCAUUUCGGUGUGAACGUCAACCACCUAUCCGACCCGUCUUGAAACACGGACCAAGGAGUUUAGCAUAUGCGCAAGCUAUUGGGUGGUAAACCCGUUCAAAAGACACAAUGAAAGUAAAGAUCAUUAUUGUUUUGAUUGUUAUGUGAUCCGUAUUGUUGUUAAUACAAUACGGCGCAACAUGGCCCCGUCCAUGUUUAGCUCUUUGAGCAAACGGGGCGGAGAUAGAGCGUAUACGCUGAGACCCGAAAGAUGGUGAACUAUGCCUGAGCAGGAUGAAGCCAGAGGAAACUCUGGUGGAGGUCCGAAGCGAUUCUGACGUGCAAAUCGAUCGUCCGACUUGGGUAUAGGGGCGAAAGACUAAUCGAACUAUCUAGUAGCUGGUUCCCUCUGAAGUUUCCCCCAGGAUAGCUGGAGUACAGCAAAAGCACAGUUAUAUUCGGUAAAGCGAAUGAUUAGAGGAAUUGGGAACGAAACGUUCUCAACCUAUUCUCAAACUUUCAAUGGGUAUGAAGUUUCGCUUGCUUAACACAUUUUGAAGCGAUAACAUUGAAUGUGUGCUCCAAGUGGGCCAUUUUUGGUAAGCAGAACUGGCGCUGUGGGAUGAACCAAACGUUGAGUUAAAGUGUCAAACUUCCCGCUCAUGAGACCCCAUGAAAGGCGUUGGUUGAUAUAGACAGCAGGACGGUGGCCAUGGAAGUCGGAAGCCGCUAAGGAGUGUGUAACAACUCACCUGCCGAAUCAACUAGCCCUGAAAAUGGAUGGCGCUUGAGCGGGAGACUUAUACUCAACCGUUGCUCGGCUUGUGCUCGUUUAAAAGAGAAAAAAAAAAAAUAAAAAGCAAACACACAUCCAUACGUGUAUGAUGAUGUACACUAAACGAAAAGCCUGGCCGCAACGAGUAAGAGGGUCGCAGUGGUUUGCGUUGAAGGCUUUGGGCGUAGGCCCGGCUGAAGCUUCCAC